GUUUGAUCCUGGCUCAGGAUGAACGCUAGCGGCAGGCUUAAUACAUGCAAGUCGAACGGGAUUCGGGGUAGCAAUACUUUGAUGAGAGUGGCGCACGGGUGCGUAACGCGUAUGCAACCUACCUUUAACAGGGGAAUAGCCCCGAGAAAUCGGGAUUAAUACUCCGUAACAUUGCGGUGUGGCAUCACACUGCACUUAAAGCUGAGGCGGUUAAAGAUGGGCAUGCGUGACAUUAGCUAGUUGGUGAGGUAACGGCUCACCAAGGCAACGAUGUCUAGGGGUCCUGAGAGGGUUAUCCCCCACACUGGUACUGAGACACGGACCAGACUCCUACGGGAGGCAGCAGUAAGGAAUAUUGGUCAAUGGGCGCAAGCCUGAACCAGCCAUGCCGCGUGCAGGAAGACGGCCCUAUGGGUUGUAAACUGCUUUUGUCAGGGAAUAAACCCCCGCUCGUGAGCGGGGCUGAAGGUACCUGAAGAAUAAGCAUCGGCUAACUCCGUGCCAGCAGCCGCGGUAAUACGGAGGAUGCAAGCGUUAUCCGGAUUCAUUGGGUUUAAAGGGUGCGCAGGCGGAUUGGUAAGUCAGGGGUGAAAUCCCACAGCUCAACUGUGGAACUGCCUUUGAUACUGUCAGUCUAGAGUAUAGUUGAAGUUGGCGGAAUGUGUCAUGUAGCGGUGAAAUGCUUAGAUAUGACACAGAACACCGAUCGCGAAGGCAGCUAGCUAAGCUAUAACUGACGCUCAUGCACGAAAGCGUGGGGAUCAAACAGGAUUAGAUACCCUGGUAGUCCACGCUGUAAACGAUGAUUACUCGAUGUUGGCGAUACACAGUCAGCGUCUGAGCGAAAGCAAUAAGUAAUCCACCUGGGGAGUACGAUCGCAAGAUUGAAACUCAAAGGAAUUGACGGGGGCCCGCACAAGCGGAGGAGCAUG
rnacentral:rRNA from 1 species